rnacentral:lncRNA from 1 species
UUACUGUUGCUUGAUAACCAAUCUCUGCUUGCUCGUUGUUGCUUAUCGCUGUUACUCUCGUCCGUUUAAAAACCGCCGGAGCUUCAAUUUUCCCCGGUAACCCCUCUCUGAAGCCUCUCUCUGCAAUUUUCCACACAAAAACGCAAAAUUCAGAUUAAAAAAGGUUUUGUUCAAUUCUAGUUCCAAGAUUCAUUACCUUGACGAGAAGUGGUUGUCGGAAGUAGCGAGACAUUAGGGGAACUCUGUUUAUCGAUUUUGAGCUUCUUCUUCCUCUCAGAAGGAGAAGAUGAAGAACGAGUUGCAGAAGAAGGAAUCCACGUGCUCUUCACGUGAGUGACACAGUUGUAUCCUCUGCUUUUACAACAAGUUCUACAUCUUUCGAACAAACACUCUUUCUUUGCUCUGUUUCCACAGUCUCUGCAUACUUUCUCUCCAACUGUGUUGUUGUCUUCCACCGCCGCGAAGUUUACCGGAGGAAGAGAUGGCCGUGUUAUC